AUGUGGAGAAAUCUACUUUGUCUGAUUGAUAACACAAAUGAAUCUCUAUUUACUGCAUGACAAGCACAGUGCAGUACUUUGUUCUGACAGUAUGACCUUAAGAAAGGCUGCUUCCCGUCUUCUGUAAAAAGGACAUCCAAGUUGGUUCACUCCCUGUCUACACGUCCUGCUAAGCAAGAAGUGAGCGACUGCCAGCACCRGGCUGUCCAAACCCACCUUCCAUGAUGUCCUUCCUGUUACACACAAGGUCGUGUUCUGCUUCUCGACCAAUGACCGAUGGAGAUGGACACCAGGUCACCCUGCAGGAACCACCAGGACACCUGUGGCUAAAAUCAUCCUGCCAAUUCACUUACUAGGAAUUUCAUCCUGACCAGCAAACCAUGAAAGACUUUGUUGUUUGGUGGAAAUCCCCCGCAGUGGCACGUCUGAGCAGCAGGGCAGUCGGUUUUCAAGAGAUGAAGUAGCUGACAGCAUUUGGUCUCUGAAUAAAG